rnacentral:rRNA from 1 species
UACGUAGGUGACAAGCGUUAUCAGGAAUUACUGGGCGUAAAGCGCACGCAGGUGGCUACUUAAGUCUGACGUGAAAGCUCCUGGCUUAACUGGGAGAGGUCGUUGGAAACUGAGUGGCUUGAGGCGAUGGGAGGGGUAUGGAAUUCCCGGUGUAGUGGUGGAAUGCGUAGAGAUCGGGAGGAACACCAGUGGCCACAGCUAUACCCUAGCGUUAGCCUGACGCUCAUGUGCGAAAGCGUGGGGAGCGAACGGG